AUGAAAUCCUAUUUAGCCUCAUAUGGUAACGUCCAAAUAAGGUCAUGAUAUCUAUAAAAACAACGAGGGGGACCAUGUUGAAAAAAAUCAAUAAAAGGGAGAUUACGUUUAAAGGGAAUGAUGAAAUCCUACAAACAAUCAUCAGGUAAAAGUUCAUGGUGAGGUCUAUCGAUGGUUUAAAUUUGGUUUCGAUAACUCCAAUAGAAGCGAUAGGAGGGCGUGCCAAAAAAAUGCUGGAAG
rnacentral:lncRNA from 1 species